UACGUAGGGAGCGAGCGUUGUCCGGAAUUACUGGGUGUAAAGGGUGCGUAGGCGGCCUUGUGGGUCAGGCGUGAAAUACAUGGGCUUAACCCAUGGACUGCGCUUGAAACUAUAAGGCUUGAGUGAAGUAGAGGCAGGUGGAAUUCCCGGUGUAGCGGUGAAAUGCGUAGAUAUCGACGCAGAACGCCGAUUGCGAAGGCAGCAUACCGGCGCCCGACUGACGCUGAGGCACGAAAGCGUGGGGAUCGAACAGG
rnacentral:rRNA from 1 species